UGGGGCAGAGGUCAGGCCCAGAGUGCUGAAGUGCUGAAGCUCCUGUAGAAGGUCCUUCCAUGUGUCUUUCAGAUCCUGGGCUUGGCCUUCUCCAUAACCAUCACCCAGCACAUCCACUGGACUGGGUCUUGCUCUGUCAUCCAGACUGGAGUACAGUGGUGCAACCACGGCUCACUGCAGCCUUGAACUCCUGGGCUCAAGCAAUCCUCCUACCUCAGCCUCCAUAGCAGUCGGGACCACAGAAGUUGCCUGCUUCCCCUUCGCCUUUGCCUUCUGCCAUGAUUAUAAGUUUCCUGAGGCCUCCCAGCCAUGCUUCCUGUUAAGCCUGUGAAACUCCCCCAAUGGUGGAGCGAGUCGGGAAUCUCGGCUGCUGCAGGUGGAGCUCAGCUGGACAGCCUGAGCGUGGCCAUCCAGCCUGCCCUGAUUUCUCCUGAGCAUACAAGUGCCUGGUCCACACGUCCACAAGGUAACAAGGAAUGCAUUGCCAAAUACCUGGCUGAAAUCAAGGACACUGACAGAGGAUGCAGGAGGAGGAAACGUCACUUACCCUCUGGUAAUACACAUGGGCCAGGACUCCCGCCACCAGCUCAACCAGGAAGAUGACGAGCAACAGGCAGAAAUACUAGCAGCAAAGAGAGAGGACGGUCACCACUGGGAUCGGGUUGCUGCUAUGACAAAUGUUUCCCCACAGUGGUGGGGGUGGUAGAGAUACCUGCUGGGACCCCUAUCAUCCAUGCCAUCUUCCUCCUGGAUGUACCAGCCUCACUGGCUGCUGGCACCAAGUUCCCCACUUACUCCUUCCCUCUUUGGUCUGCUGAC
rnacentral:lncRNA from 10 species